rnacentral:lncRNA from 1 species
AAUACACUCAUGAAAAUAACACAUGCUUAUCAUCAUGUAUAACUUAAAAUUUCAUGCAUAAAAUUAUCAAUCAUAGUAUCAAAAUAUUUAAUAUUACAUCAUUAUGCAUUUCUUCAAGCAUGAUUUUAUUUAAUCAAAAUCGAGAAAUAACAAUGGAAAUCAACAUGAUACAUAUUAUUACUUCUUAACCACAUAUAGCAUGAUAUUAAACUUCUUAAUAUUUUC